rnacentral:lncRNA from 1 species
ACAACAUCAAUGAUAGAAGACAAAAUUGGAAUACUGUAAACAUUAUUGCUAAAAUGAUGAAAGAACAGACCUUUUGCUGCCGAACUUUUAGAGCAGAUACGAUGAAAUACAAAAUCUAGAACAUCAAUCCUCAAGCAAGCUACAUACUAUAAACCCGGACCGAAAUCGGCAUCCCCGAACAGACACAUCUCUAUUAGGUUUGGAUAAACGUUUUUAUGUUGUUUUCAUACUGGGUUGGGGUUGAUUUCAAGUCUGUUUUUAGUCUUUCGUAUCCUCCAGAUCUUGUCCCCAUCUAUUUUUAUUUUAUUAUGUGGGUGUAUAUAUAAAUGUGUGUGUGAGAGAAUUGUACAUUACAGUGAAGAAGAGAGUGAAGGGGAAUUUAGUUCAUUGAGCUUUAGCUUUAAGAAUUUUGGAAUUAUGUUCUACUUAGGGUCGUUUUUUUCGUAGGAACGGCUAGCCUUUUGUGAAGAAGGGUGUAGGAACUUUUUUAUGGUUUUAGCU